GAUGAAGAACGUAGCGAAAUGCGAUAAGUAAUGUGAAUUGCAGAAUUCAGUGAAUCAUCGAAUCUUUGAACGCACAUUGCGCCCAUUAGUAUUCUAGUGGGCAUGCUUGUUCGAGCGUCAUUAAGUCCACUUAAGCCCUGCUUAGUGUUGGGAGACUGCUCCAGCGGUGCUACCCUGUAGCUACCCUGCAGCUCCUCAAAGACAGCGGCGGAGUUGUGGUAUCCUCUGAGCUUAGUAACUUGUUCUAGCUUUCGAGUACACCACUUCCCCUGCCGUAAAACCCUUAAUUUUUAAUGGUUGACCUCGGAUCAGGUAGGAAUACCCGCUGAACUUAAGCAUAUCAAUAAGCGGAGGA
rnacentral:misc_RNA from 1 species